GAUGAACGCUAGCGGCAGGCUUAAUACAUGCAAGUCGAGGGGCAGCACGGGUAGCAAUAUCUGGUGGCGACCGGCAAACGGGUGCGGAACACGUACAGAACCUUCCUUUAAGCGGGGGAUAGCCCAUAGAAAUGUGGAUUAAUACCCCAUAGUAAUGUUGGUUGGCAUCAACUGAUAUUUAAAGAUUUAUCACUUAAAGAUGGCUGUGUGGCUGUUUAGGUAGUUGGGGUAGGUAACGGCUCACCAAGCCAUCGAUCAGUAACUGGUGUGAGAGCACGACCAGUCACACGGGCACUGAGACACGGGCCCGACUCCUACGGGAGGCAGCAGUAAGGAAUAUUGGUCAAUGGACGCAAGUCUGAACCAGCCAUGCCGCGUGAAGGAUGAAGGCCCUCUGGGUUGUAAACUUCUUUUAUCUGGGAAGAAACCACUUUUUUAUAAGGGUGUUGACGGUACCAGAGGAAUAAGCACCGGCUAACUCCGUGCCAGCAGCCGCCGUAA
rnacentral:rRNA from 1 species